rnacentral:lncRNA from 1 species
CCUUGCUCGGUCUCUUCCCUCUCCUCUCUCUCUCCCCCUUGUUCCCUCGUCUCCAGCCGACUCUCAAGUCAUAAAAAUUAUUUGCAUAUAGGAGGAGAGGAGAAGUUUGUAGGGAGCACUGUGAGUGUGUUAGGGGAAAAGAACAAGUGAGAGAAAAAGAGAAGUAGAGAGAGAGAGAAAGAAAGAGCAAAAAAGAAAGGAGGACAGACUUACUGGAGCAUAAAAAAGUUUGAGAGAAGACUGCAUUUUGAGACUGAAAAUGAACUUGAAAGAGUGGUGAUCCCUUUCUCUUCCGUCAAACGUCUACUGUUGUGGGCAACGGAGGAAGCAGAGGUCUGUACCAAAGAGCAAUCUCACCCCAAACCAUUUCAGGAGAGAGUGACAGACGGGCGGACGGACGGACCGACG